UACGUAGGGUGCAAGCGUUAUCCGGAAUUAUUGGGCGUAAAGAGCUCGUAGGCGGUUUGUCGCGUCUGCUGUGAAAACUGGAGGCUCAACCUCCAGCCUGCAGUGGGUACGGGCAAACUAGAGUGCGGUAGGGGAGAUUGGAAUUCCUGGUGUAGCGGUGGAAUGCGCAGAUAUCAGGAGGAACACCGAUGGCGAAGGCAGAUCUCGUGGGCCGUGAACCUGACGCUGAGGAGCGGAAAGCAUGGGGAGCGAACAGGAUUAGACUACCCCGUGUA
rnacentral:rRNA from 1 species